rnacentral:lncRNA from 1 species
UUAGGAUUUGAUUUAGGAUUUGGAUUAAGGUUAGGAUUUUAUAAAGAUUUGAUUUAGGGUCUAGGAUUUGUUAGGAUUUAGUUUAGGAUUUAGGAUUUAGGAUUUGGUUUAGGAUUUGAUUUAGGGUUUAGAGUUUGGAUUAGGAUUUGGAUUAGGAUUUAGAUUAGGAUUUAGAAUUUGAUUUAGGAUUUGGUUAGGGAUUGGUUUAAGGUUUAGGAUUUGAUUAAGGUUUGAUUAAGAUUUGGUUUAGGAUUUAGGGUUGUCUAAGGUUUGAUUAAGGUUGGAUUAGGAUUAGGAAUUGGUCAAAAUUUAAGAUUUUAUUAGAUUUUUUUUAGGGUUUGACUAAGUUUUCUUUAAUAUUCUUUUAUAUUUCUUUAAGAUUUUCUUGUGUUUCUUUUAUAACUUCAAUGAAAUUUAAUUGAGCUUGCUUAAGGUUUGAUUAUGAGUGU